rnacentral:rRNA from 1 species
CGAACGGUAACAGGGAGCUUGCUCCGCUGACGAGUGGCGAACGGGUGAGUAAUAUAUCGGAACGUACCCAAGAGUGGGGGAUAACGUAGCGAAAGUUACGCUAAUACCGCAUACGAUCUAUGGAUGAAAGCAGGGGACCUUCGGGCCUUGUGCUCCUGGAGCGGCCGAUAUCUGAUUAGCUAGUUGGUGAGGUAAAGGCUCACCAAGGCGACGAUCAGUAGCUGGUCUGAGAGGACGACCAGCCACACUGGAACUGAGACACGGUCCAGACUCCUACGGGAGGCAGCAGUGGGGAAUUUUGGACAAUGGGCGCAAGCCUGAUCCAGCAAUGCCGCGUGAGUGAAGAAGGCCUUCGGGUUGUAAAGCUCUUUUGUCAGGGAAGAAACGGCUGUGGCUAAUAUCCACGGCUAAUGACGGUACCUGAAGAAUAAGCACCGGCUAACUACGUGCCAGCAGCCGCGGUAAUACGUAGGGUGCAAGCGUUAAUCGGAAUUACUGGGCGUAAAGCGUGCGCAGGCGGUUUUGUAAGUCUGUCGUGAAAUCCCCGGGCUCAACCUGGGAAUUGCGAUGGAGACUGCAAGGCUAGAAUCUGGCAGAGGGGGGUAGAAUUCCACGUGUAGCAGUGAAAUGCGUAGAGAUGUGGAGGAACACCGAUGGCGAACGCAGCCCCCUGGGUCAAGAUUGACGCUCAUGCACGAAAGCGUGGGGAGCAAACAGGAUUAGAUACCCUGGUAGUCCACGCCCUAAACGAUGUCUACUAGUUGUCGGGUUUUAAUUAACUUGGUAACGCAGCUAACGCGUGAAGUAGACCGCCUGGGGAGUACGGUC